GACGAACGCUGGCGGCGUGCUUAACACAUGCAAGUCGAACGGAAAGGCCCUGCUUUUGUGGGGUGCUCGAGUGGCGAACGGAGGAGUAACACGUGAGUAACCUGCCCUUGACUUUGGGAUAACUUCAGGAAACUGGGGCUAAUACCGGAUAGGAGCUCCUGCUGCAUGGUGGGGGUUGGAAAGUUUCGGCGGUGGGGGAUGGACUCGCGGCUUAUCAGCUUGUUGGUGGGGUAGUGGCUUACCAAGGCUUUGACGGGUAGCCGGCCUGAGAGGGUGACCGGCCACAAUGGGACUGAGAGACGGCCCAGACUCCUACGGGAGGCAGCAGUGGGGAAUAUUGCACAAUGGGCGGAAGCCUGAUGCAGCAACGCCGCGUGCGGGAUGACGGCCUUCGGGUUGUAAACCGCUUUCGCCUGUGACGAAGAGUGAGUGACGGUAAUGGGUAAAGAAGCACCGGCUAACUACGUG
rnacentral:rRNA from 1 species